rnacentral:rRNA from 1 species
UGCCACAGCCAUAUCACCCUGCAGCCCAAGACUGGUUACUCACUGAAGCUAAGCAGGGCUGAGCCUGGUAAGUACCUGGAUGGGAGACCACUAGGGAACACUAGGUUGCUGUUGGUA